AGAUUGAACGCUGGCGGCAGGCCUAACACAUGCAAGUCGAGCGGUAGAGAGGUGCUUGCAUCUCUUGAGAGCGGCGGACGGGUGAGUAAUGCCUAGGAAUCUGCCUAGUGGUGGGGGAUAACGUUCGGAAACGGACGCUAAUACCGCAUACGUCCUACGGGAGAAAGCGGGGGACCUUCGGGCCUCGCGCCAUUAGAUGAGCCUAGGUCGGAUUAGCUAGUUGGUGAGGUAAUGGCUCACCAAGGCGACGAUCCGUAACUGGUCUGAGAGGAUGAUCAGUCACACUGGAACUGAGACACGGUCCAGACUCCUACGGGAGCAGCAGUGGGGAAUAUUGGACAAUGGGCGAAAAGCCUGAUCCAGCCAUGCCGCGUGUGUGAUGAAGGCCUUAGGGUGUAAAGCUCUUUACCCGAGAU
rnacentral:rRNA from 1 species